rnacentral:rRNA from 1 species
UACGGGGGGAGCAAGCGUUGUUCGGAUUUACUGGGCGUAAAGGGCGCGUAGGCGGCCACCGCAAGUCAAUUGUGAAAUCUCCGGGCUUAACUCGGAAAGGUCAACUGAUACUGCGGGGCUAGAGUGCGGAAGGGGCAACUGGAAUUCUCGGUGUAGCGGUGAAAUGCGCAGAUAUCAGGAAGAACACCUAUGGCGAAAGCAGCUCUCUGGGACGGUACUGACGCUGAGACGCGAAAGCGUGGGGAGCGAACAGG